rnacentral:rRNA from 1 species
GGCGUGCUUACACAUGCAAGUCGAACGGUGAUGCCCAGCUUGCUGGGUGGAUCAGUGGCGAACGGGUGAGUAACACGUGAGCAACCUGCCCCCUACUUCGGGAUAAGCCUUGGAAACGGGGUCUAAUACCGGAUAUGAGCCUGCCGCAUGGUGGGUGUUGGAAAGUUUUUCGGUGGGGGAUGGGCUCGCGGCCUAUCAGCUUGUUGGUGGGGUAAUGGCCUACCAAGGCGUCGACGGGUAGCCGGCCUGAGAGGGCGACCGGCCACACUGGGACUGAGACACGGCCCAGACUCCUACGGGAGGCAGCAGUGGGGAAUAUUGCACAAUGGGCGAAAGCCUGAUGCAGCGACGCCACGUGAGGGAUGACGGCCUUCGGGUUGUAAACCUCUUUCAGCAGGGAAGAAGCGAGAGUGACGGUACCUGCAGAAGAAGCGCCGGCUAACUACGUGCCAGCAGCCGCGGUAAUACGUAGGGCGCAAGCGUUGUCCGGAAUUAUUGGGCGUAAAGAGCUCGUAGGCGGUCUGUCGCGUCUGGUGUGAAAUCCCAUGGCUCAACUGUGGGCUUGCAUCGGGUACGGGCAGACUAGAGUGCUGUAGGGGAGACUGGAAUUCCUGGUGUAGCGGUGGAAUGCGCAGAUAUCAGGAGGAACACCGAUGGCGAAGGCAGGUCUCUGGGCAGUUACUGACGCUGAGGAGCGAAAGCAUGGGGAGCGAACAGGAUUAGAUACCCUGGUAGUCCAUGCCGUAAACGUUGGGCACUAGGUGUGGGGCCAGUUCCACUGGUUCUGUGCCGCAGCUAACGCAUUAAGUGCCCCGCCUGGGGAGUACGGCCGCAAGGCUAAAACUCAAAGGAAUUGACGGGGGCCCGCACAAGCGGCGGAGCAUGCGGAUUAAUUCGAUGCAACGCGAAGAACCUUACCAAGGCUUGACAUGUACGAGAAAGCCCCAGAGAUGGGGUUCUCUUUGGACACUCGUACACAGGUGGUGCAUGGUUGUCGUCAGCUCGUGUCGUGAGAUGUUGGGUUAAGUCCCGCAACGAGCGCAACCCUUAUCCUAUGUUGCCAGCGGGUUAUGCCGGGGACUCAUGGGAGACUGCCGGGGUCAACUCGGAGGAAGGUGGGGAUGACGUCAAAUCAUCAUGCCCCUUAUGUCUUGGGCUUCACGCAUGCUACAAUGGCCGGUACAGAGGGCUGCGAUACCGUGAGGUGGAGCGAAUCCCAAAAAGCCGGUCUCAGUUCGGAUCGGGGUCUGCAACUCGACCCCGUGAAGUCGGAGUCGCUAGUAAUCGCAGAUCAGCAACGCUGCGGUGAAUACGUUCCCGGGCCUUGUACACACCGCCCGUCAAGUCACGAAAGUUGGUAACACCCGAAGCUCACGGCCCAACCCGUAAGGGAGGGAGUGGUCGAAGGUGGGACUGGCGAUUGGGACUAAGUCGUAACAAG